GCACUGCUGAAGAGUCCCAGAAAUAGGACGAAACGACCGUCUAAUGC
rfam:Schistosoma mattheei strain Denwood, Zambia genome assembly, scaffold: SMTD_scaffold0005997